rnacentral:lncRNA from 1 species
CUUGACAUUCUAUUAUAAACUAGAAUUGGUAUUAGAUGAUUUUGCCCUACUGUGGGCUAAUGUAAGUGUUCUGAGCUCAUUUUAGGUAGACUAGGCUAAGUUGUAGUGUUUGGUAGAUGAAAUAUAUUAAAUGUAUUUUUACUUGUAAUUUUUUUUAAACAUAAUGAUGUUUUUUUUUCAAAAAUAUAACCCCAUGGUAAGUGGAGAAGCAGCUGUAUACUGUCAGAGAUUCUGUAUCAGAAACAGGUCCAAGAUGGUUCCCAAAUAGAAGGGUCCCCAGAUCUGUGCCUGCUGUCACCUAAAGCAAUGAAGACAAUGAACCAAGUGUCACAGGGAUGAGGCAACGGAGAGGUGGAUCUUACUGGACAUUAUUAUACACAAUGGGUUUGUGUCACAGCUGAGUAACCCUGAGUUUAGGAAACCCCCAAUCUUAUAAAAGGGCUCAUAGAAAACCUGUUCAAACUUUGUAGUUGUCUUGGCCAAGAACCAAAUCUGCCCUCCAAAAAGAAAGCGCUGUCUCUAUUCUCCCAGACUGUUCAUUAUACAAAUAUCCUUGAAAAGACAGUAUGAAACAAAAGCAGUCACUGCCUUUGUGCAGAAGAUGGGGGUGGCAUUCAUAGAGACUCACCUCCAACCCACCCAACAUUAAACUCUUAGCUUUCUGGAAUCCAUUAGAUAAAAGAAUGAAUUAGAAAAACUGGAUAGGAAUGUUGGCUCCUUAUCGAUCCACAAUAUUACAAAUAACAUUCUCACCCUUGCUACAGUUCACCUUGUCUGAG